GUUAAGCGACUAAGCGUACACGGUGGAUGCCCUGGCAGUCAGAGGCGAUGAAGGGCGUGCUAAUCUGCGAUAAGCGCCGGUAAGGUGAUAUGAACCGUUAUAACCGGCGAUACCCGAAUGGGGAAACCCAGUGUGAUUCGUCACACUAUCAUUAACUGAAUCCAUAGGUUAAUGAGGCGAACCGGGGGAACUGAAACAUCUAAGUACCCCGAGGAAAAGAAAUCAACCGAGAUUCCCCCAGUAGCGGCGAGCGAACGGGGAGGAGCCCAGAGCCUGAAUCAGCAUGUGUGUUAGUGGAAGCGUCUGGAAAGGCGCGCGAUACAGGGUGACAGCCCCGUACACAAAAGCGCAUGUGCUGUGAGCUCGAUGAGUAGGGCGGGACACGUGGUAUCCUGUCUGAAUAUGGGGGGACCAUCCUCCAAGGCUAAAUACUCCUGACUGACCGAUAGUGAACCAGUACCGUGAGGGAAAGGCGAAAAGAACCCCGGCGAGGGGAGUGAAAAAGAACCUGAAACCGUGUACGUACAAGCAGUGGGAGCACCCUUCGGGGUGUGACUGCGUACCUUUUGUAUAAUGGGUCAGCGACUUAUAUUCUGUAGCAAGGUUAACCGUAUAGGGGAGCCGGAGGGAAACCGAGUCUUAAUUGGGCGUUAAGUUGCAGGGUAUAGACCCGAAACCCGGUGAUCUAGCCAUGGGCAGGUUGAAGGUUGGGUAACACUAACUGGAGGACCGAACCGACUAAUGUUGAAAAAUUAGCGGAUGACCUGUGGCUGGGGGUGAAAGGCCAAUCAAACCGGGAGAUAGCUGGUUCUCCCCGAAAGCUAUUUAGGUAGCGCCUCGUGAAUUCAUCUCCGGGGGUAGAGCACUGUUUCGGCUAGGGGGCCAUCCCGGCUUACCAACCCGAUGCAAACUGCGAAUACCGGAGAAUGUUAUCACGGGAGACACACGGCGGGUGCUAACGUCCGUCGUGAAGAGGGAAACAACCCAGACCGCCAGCUAAGGUCCCAAAGUCAUGGUUAAGUGGGAAACGAUGUGGGAAGGCCCAGACAGCCAGGAUGUUGGCUUAGAAGCAGCCAUCAUUUAAAGAAAGCGUAAUAGCUCACUGGUCGAGUCGGCCUGCGCGGAAGAUGUAACGGGGCUAAACCAUGCACCGAAGCUGCGGCAGCGAACGUAUCACCCAAGACAACUUUACGGAGUUGACGAUUGACGGAGCGAAGCGACGUCAAAGCGUUCAUUAAAGUCGAGUUGGCUUAGGGAUACGUUCGUUGGGUAGGGGAGCGUUCUGUAAGCCUGUGAAGGUGUGUCGUGAGGCAUGCUGGAGGUAUCAGAAGUGCGAAUGCUGACAUAAGUAACGAUAAAGCGGGUGAAAAGCCCGCUCGCCGGAAGACCAAGGGUUCCUGUCCAACGUUAAUCGGGGCAGGGUGAGUCGACCCCUAAGGCGAGGCCGAAAGGCGUAGUCGAUGGGAAACGGGUUAAUAUUCCCGUACUUGGUGUUACUGCGAAGGGGGGACGGAGAAGGCUAUGUUGGCCGGGCGACGGUUGUCCCGGUUUAAGCGUGUAGGUGUGUGUUCCAGGUAAAUCCGGUUCACUUUAACACUGAGGCGUGACGACGAGGCACUACGGUGCUGAAGCAACAAAUGCCCUGCUUCCAGGAAAAGCCUCUAAGCAUCAGGUAACAUCAAAUCGUACCCCAAACCGACACAGGUGGUCAGGUAGAGAAUACCAAGGCGCUUGAGAGAACUCGGGUGAAGGAACUAGGCAAAAUGGUGCCGUAACUUCGGGAGAAGGCACGCUGACACGUAGGUGAAGUGAUUUACUCAUGGAGCUGAAGUCAGUCGAAGAUACCAGCUGGCUGCAACUGUUUAUUAAAAACACAGCACUGUGCAAACACGAAAGUGGACGUAUACGGUGUGACGCCUGCCCGGUGCCGGAAGGUUAAUUGAUGGGGUCAGCGCAAGCGAAGCUCCUGAUCGAAGCCCCGGUAAACGGCGGCCGUAACUAUAACGGUCCUAAGGUAGCGAAAUUCCUUGUCGGGUAAGUUCCGACCUGCACGAAUGGCGUAAUGAUGGCCAGGCUGUCUCCACCCGAGACUCAGUGAAAUUGAACUCGCUGUGAAGAUGCAGUGUACCCGCGGCAAGACGGAAAGACCCCGUGAACCUUUACUAUAGCUUGACACUGAACAUUGAGCCUUGAUGUGUAGGAUAGGUGGGAGGCUUUGAAGUGUGGACGCCAGUCUGCAUGGAGCCGACCUUGAAAUACCACCCUUUAAUGUUUGAUGUUCUAACGUGGACCCGUUACCCGGGUUGCGGACAGUGUCUGGUGGGUAGUUUGACUGGGGCGGUCUCCUCCUAAAGAGUAACGGAGGAGCACGAAGGUUGGCUAAUCCUGGUCGGACAUCAGGAGGUUAGUGCAAUGGCAUAAGCCAGCUUGACUGCGAGCGUGACGGCGCGAGCAGGUGCGAAAGCAGGUCAUAGUGAUCCGGUGGUUCUGAAUGGAAGGGCCAUCGCUCAACGGAUAAAAGGUACUCCGGGGAUAACAGGCUGAUACCGCCCAAGAGUUCAUAUCGACGGCGGUGUUUGGCACCUCGAUGUCGGCUCAUCACAUCCUGGGGCUGAAGUAGGUCCCAAGGGUAUGGCUGUUCGCCAUUUAAAGUGGUACGCGAGCUGGGUUUAGAACGUCGUGAGACAGUUCGGUCCCUAUCUGCCGUGGGCGCUGGAGAACUGAGGGGGGCUGCUCCUAGUACGAGAGGACCGGAGUGGACGCAUCACUGGUGUUCGGGUUGUCAUGCCAAUGGCACUGCCCGGUAGCUAAAUGCGGAAGAGAUAAGUGCUGAAAGCAUCUAAGCACGAAACUUGCCCCGAGAUGAGUUCUCCCUGAGACUUAGAGUCUCCUGAAGGAACGUUGAAGACGACGACGUUGAUAGGCCGGGUGUGUAAGCGCAGCGAUGCGUUGAGCUAACCGGUACUAAUGAACCGUGAGGCUUAACCUUACA
rnacentral:rRNA from 1 species